rnacentral:lncRNA from 1 species
AAUAGGAUGAUGACGCAGCAAGAGAGAGAUGUGGUGGAGGAGAGAAGAAAAAGAAAAAGAAUAAAAAAAGAAGAAAAAGAAGAGGCAGAGGAUGAGAGACGUGGUAGACUGGCUGUAGAAGAAGAUCGAAGUAGUUGUGGGUGGCAAGACAAAUCUGUGUGCGUGCCGAUUUAAUUUGAGUAAAAAGAGUGCAGUUACUGAC